rnacentral:tRNA from 2 species
UGGGAUGUAGCCAAGUGGUAAGGCAGCGGUUUUUGAUACCGUCAUUCGGAGGUUCGAACCCUUCCAUCCCAGCCG